GUUAAAAAGCUCGUAGUUGGAUACAGAGCUCAGGUUGUACCGUGGCCUUCAUGAUUGGUGAAAAGUGAAUGCUGGGAUCCUUGACUGUUGGAUUCAACCCGGUACAUCAAGACCUGUGCUCUAGGAAUGGUGGUAAUGGUGCCCUGCAAGUAAUCCCCUCAGGGGGAUGAACGCGCCUACGUGUGAACCAUACGCAUACGGGUCGACCACCGAUGUUACUGUGAACAAAUCAGUGUGUCCAAAGCAGGCGUUCGCCUUGAAUGAUAAAGCAUGGAAUAACAAGGGAUCGAUUCUCUCGAGUCUUUUUGUUGGUUUUAAGCUCGAGAAGGAGUAAUUCGAGCUACGGCCGACCAGUGCUUUCGGGUACUGACUCGGACGUGGCCCUGCGGGAUCAAUAGGGACUGCCGGGGUCGUACGUACUCCCACGUCAGAGGUGAAAUUCUUAGAUCGUGGGAAGACGAACUUCUGCGAAAGCAUUCGACAAGAAUGUCUUCAUUAAUCAAGAACGAGAGUGUGGGGAUCGAAGAUGAUCCGAUACCGUCGUAGUCCACUACUGUAAACGAUGCCGCCCUCAGGAUC
rnacentral:rRNA from 1 species